rnacentral:rRNA from 1 species
AAUACAUGCAAGUAGAACGCUGAGGUUUGGUGUUUACACUAGACUGAUGAGUUGCGAACGGGUGAGUAACGCGUAGGUAACCUGCCUCAUAGCGGGGGAUAACUAUUGGAAACGAUAGCUAAUACCGCAUAAGAGUAAUUAACACAUGUUAGUUAUUUAAAAGGAGCAAUUGCUUCACUGUGAGAUGGACCUGCGUUGUAUUAGCUAGUUGGUGAGGUAAAGGCUCACCAAGGCGACGAUACAUAGCCGACCUGAGAGGGUGAUCGGCCACACUGGGACUGAGACACGGCCCAGACUCCUACGGGAGGCAGCAGUAGGGAAUCUUCGGCAAUGGACGGAAGUCUGACCGAGCAACGCCGCGUGAGUGAAGAAGGUUUUCGGAUCGUAAAGCUCUGUUGUUAGAGAAGAACGUUGGUAGGAGUGGAAAAUCUACCAAGUGACGGUAACUAACCAGAAAGGGACGGCUAACUACGUGCCAGCAGCCGCGGUAAUACGUAGGUCCCGAGCGUUGUCCGGAUUUAUUGGGCGUAAAGCGAGCGCAGGCGGUUCUUUAAGUCUGAAGUUAAAGGCAGUGGCUUAACCAUUGUACGCUUUGGAAACUGGAGGACUUGAGUGCAGAAGGGGAGAGUGGAAUUCCAUGUGUAGCGGUGAAAUGCGUAGAUAUAUGGAGGAACACCGGUGGCGAAAGCGGCUCUCUGGUCUGUAACUGACGCUGAGGCUCGAAAGCGUGGGGAGCAAACAGGAUUAGAUACCCUGGUAGUCCACGCCGUAAACGAUGAGUGCUAGGUGUUAGGCCCUUUCCGGGGCUUAGUGCCGCAGCUAACGCAUUAAGCACUCCGCCUGGGGAGUACGACCGCAAGGUU